rnacentral:rRNA from 1 species
AACGAACGCUGGCGGCAUGCCUAACACAUGCAAGUCGAACGAGACCUUCGGGUCUAGUGGCGCACGGGUGCGUAACGCGUGGGACCCUGCCCUUAGGUUCGGAAUAACUCCCCGAAAGGGGUGCUAAUACCGGAUAAUGUCUUCGGACCAAAGAUUUAUCGCCUUGGGAUGGGCCCGCGUUGGAUUAGCCAGUUGGUAGGGUAAAAGCCUACCAAGGCGACGAUCCAUAGCUGGUCUGAGAGGAUGAUAAGCCACACUGGGACUGAGACACGGCCCAGACUCCUACGGGAGGCAGCAGUGGGGAAUAUUGGACGAUGGGCGAAAGCCUGAUCCAGCAAUGCCGCGUGAGUGAUGAAGGCCUUAGGGUUGUAAAGCUCUUUUACCCGGGAUGAUAAUGACAGUACCGGGAGAAUAAGCUCCGGCUAACUCCGUG